AUCACCACGCUGGCACUUCCUGUUUACCUGUCCCAUUGACCUCCUCUUUGGAGAGUCACCGGUGCUGAGUGCUCCAGGCAGCCCUGAGGACAUGCACUCACAUGGCCAGCUUCAAAGUUAAGGCAAAGUUUACCCAGAGUUGAGCUUCCACAGGCUGCCCCGCUGUUCACUGGGGUUGUGUGCUCAGAUAAGAAGGCUGCUUCCUGGUCUAAACAUACACAGACAAAGAGAAAACAAAGAAGAAGGACAGGCAGAAAGAAAAAAAGAGGAGGCUUGGAGGCAAACAGCGAAGUCUUAUCGCAGUUGGCGGUUCAAAGAGCCACUCCUCGCCAGGGCGGAAGCUCCUCUCAACCUAGAAUGAGAUCAGUGUGCAUCCAACAAGGGACUUCCUCCCCACACAGGAAGUGGAGGUGCAGCUGAGAGGGAAAGGGCUCUUCCUCUGCCACCCCCGUUCUUCCAAGUCCUGCUCCUCCCUCGUCCUCCUCCAUGAUCCGUGUUUUGUCUCAGAAAUAACAUAAAGCAUUGCUCACGCUCACUCCCUCUCCCCUUUUUCUGACCAAGCAGGAAGUGCAGCCUGUUAUGUUUACAUAACAGAGGUCCUCUCUCCCGCCAAAGCCACCCAAUGGCCCCUGGGAAACGGGAAUCCCCAGACUUCAUCUGCUCACAUUUGUGAAGUGGACAUCCAUCACAGAUUGACAGAGAAAUGUGUCUGCAUGUGUAUAUGGGAGAGAGGCUUCCGGUGGGAGCAAAGAGAGAGAGAACAGAAGAGCAUCUGUGCUAAUGUUGAUGAUCCUUUCCUGAGAAGGUUUUCCUUUUACUUAAGUUGACCCCUGCUGCAAUGGAAGAAGAACUGGAUGUGCUCUUGUUCAAGAGCCCCCCAUCAUUUCCCAUUGUGCCAUUUGGCUUUGGCACUUAUCUCUUUGCACAUGAUUCCAAUAGUGAAGAUUUGCACUCAAUGUGCGCUUGAAGCUGGGAGAUAUGAAUGCCAUCGGUGAUGGAUAACACACUAUGUCUGCCUUGUUCUGGGGGGAGAUGUGCACACUCAUGAGGCUCAUGUGACUAGCAAUGGGUCGACAGAGAGAGGGUCUAUCCAUCUGAGGCCCCCAGAAAACUGCCCGUUGGCCAUUAUGGAACAAAUGAAGACUUUUGAGUGUGUGGAAGGGAAGUGGAUAUUUAGUUCACUGGUGGCAGGGCUAGAUUAAUGUGUUUCUGUCCAUGGAUUUAAUUGUGUGUAACAAAAGUCUUGAUGUGGUGUUACAAUCAAAUGUUCAGAUCAUUUUUCUUUCAUUAUAAAUAAAUUUGAAAAUUUACAAUUCCCUUUAAACAGAAACACCUCAGAGAAAAGUCUUAAAAAUAAGAAUACAGCAGAGAGAAAAAAUGGCAGAUGCCUUUGCAAAACUACAAACUUUCUGACUUUUCUUUUUUACGUUUUUGUGUCAACUGCAGAAACAAUUGGCCUCGUAGAAGAGCAAUUUUGGAUCCUUGCUCAAAACAGAUUUAUCUUGUUUUUCAGUCUAAUUAUCCAGAUUCUUUUAACUGUGCAAACUUGCCAUAAAUCAUUCAUUUCAGACUAAUGAAUCCCACCUGUUCAUAAAGAGGUGAACGUUUGUGACUCUUGAGUGGUUUAGGCUAGAUGAAGUUAGAUGUUUUCAAGGCAGGGCAGUGUGUGCCUAAUCACUGAGUAUUUGGAAAUAGUUCAGCUUGUUUCAGGUAAUGUUACACUGUCUUCAGACAGCAUGUAGACUCGGACAGCUGUUGGCGCAGCACAACCAACUGCUAGAAUAUAGACGCUCCUGCAGAUCUAUUUGUUUGCUUGAAUAAAAGGAUUUCCUGUUUUGCUUUGAUAAAUUGCUGCCAAGUAACUCUAUCCCAUUUGUUUUUGUUGUUUUGUGGAUUCUAUUCAGUGCAUGUGUUCACGUACUAUAUCUAUGCCCGUGUUUAUCCACACAUUUGUUUAGAGUGUGAAAUGCUUCUACGCGUCCUGCUGUUGAAGAACUUGUCCUUGGCUCUGCAGAUCCACUCACAGAGUGGAGAGUUUGAGUAGCUGCCAUGAGGACUUAUGGCCUCAGGACCUGUUGGUGGAGGUCAGAGAGUACAAGAGGCGACAGCUGUAGAAAUGUUGAGAGCCCAGUGCAGCAUGAAUACUGCCGGUUAUAGCCAGCAUCGCACGCACACACGGAUACAUACACACCCACACACUCAACACACACAGCGAUCAGAUCCUUAUCUAAAAGAUACAUUGUUUGGAAGUUGCUGGAGGACCGCCUAACAGGAUAUAGCCCACUGUUAGAAAGUGUGUCUGUGUUUGCGCGUGUGUUACACAGGAUCAUAUAGGACGUGAUCAAAAAAGCUGAGGCCUUUUAUUGCAGUUUUCGCCAAUCUGCAGCCUGUUUGAAUGGAUUUCCAUGAUUUUUGUCAGUCUUUGAACUUGUUUGAGUUGUUGAUGUGGUCAUUCAGUAUCCAGGAGCCUCUUUUGUCUUCUAUAAGUCAAACUGCUACUAUCAAAACUGUAACAAAUAAAACAGAUAUAACUACA